UCUGACUUAUUUGUGACUGGUAUAAAAAGAGUAUUUUUUUAUCAGUCCAUUACCAAAGCUAUUUGGAAAAGUUGUUUUAAGUAAAAUUGAAGAUGACAGCAAAGUUAAAAAAAUUCGCUGUGGUUGAAUUUCUUGAUGAAAAAAAAAAAAGUUUGUGUGCCACGGACGUUAUCUGUUCGUCAUGGCUGAUCAAUGAAAGUUUAGUGUUUUGGCCCAAUCAUUUGGGAUCAUCUCGCCGUUUAACGGCCAUACGCGAAGCCACACUUACUCCUGAAAGUAAUUAGAAACAGUUAAAAAUAAGAAUUCUCUAUUAUUCUGGUAAUUGUCGUUAUUAUGUUAUUAUUCCUUGUUUAAUUUUACGUUACACACAUGCUAGAUGCUAAUGAUCUAAACAGAUAUAUAUAUCUUUACUUUAAAUUUUUUAGACAGUUAUAAAACUGCUGUAGAACGAAUGGAAACAUUAGAAUUCACAUCAAGCAUUGAAACAGCUGCUGAAAGUGAUGAAGAAUUGUCUAUGCCACCAGCUAAAAAGUUAGCAGUUUGCAAUACAAGUGACACUGAGGUUUAUCCAUCAGUUUCCCCAAGAUUAAAGAAAUCUUUUAAUUGCCAAAAUAUUUUACAACCCACAACUGUUUGAUAUAUUGAGCCAUUUAGUUCGAAUCAUUCUAUACCGAUAUCUUCCUCUUCUGACCAGAGCUUGGCAACUGUUGUGGCUGCUUUAGGCACCCGAUUUUCUGCAUUUGAGAAGAAAAGUUUAGAGCUGCUUGUCAGUAUUCAAUAUGAUUUGAAAAAGUUAAACACUCGCCUAAUCAAUUUAGAAAAAAGCUUAGUGUUUCCUUCUACUGUUAGCAAUCAGAGCAUAGCAGGACCAUCCCCAUCAGUUCAAUGGAAUUAUUUGCCUGUUAAAGAGGAAAAAGAACUUUUAGACCUGGAUGAAAAAUUACAGAACAAAGACACCUAUGAAUCUUUGAUGAACUUUCUUGCAUCGGUUGGAGGCGACGAUUACAAGCAACUUACCACGGCUAUUUUAAAACAACUAUUGACUAAAAAAGUAUGCUUGUUAUAUUCUUUGUAUAGCAGGAAACAAAAGAAAUCCUUUUCGUCUCUUACGUCCUGCAAGGUGGUUA